GUCAAACAGUCUGCAACAGUCAGGAACAGUCAGGAACAGUCAGGAACAGUCAGGAACAGUCAGAAACAGUCAGGAACAGUCAGGUCAAACAGUCUGCAACAGUCAGGAACAGUCAGGAACAGUCAGAAACAGUCAGGAAUGGUCAGGAACAGUCAGGUCAAACAGUCAGGAACAGUCAGGAACAGUCAGGAACAGUCAGGUCAAACAGUCUGCAACAGUCAGGAACAGUCAGGAACAGUCAGGAACAGUCAGAAACAGUCAGGAACAGUCAGGUCAAACAGUCAGAAACAGUCAGGAACAGUCAGGAACAGUCAGGAACAGUCAGGAACAGUCAGGUCAAACAGUCAGGAACAGUCAGGAACAGUCAGGAACAGUCAGGUCAAACAGUCAGAAACAGUCAGGAACAGUCAGGAACAGUCAGGUCAAACAGUCAGAAACAGUCAGGAACAGUCAGGUCAAACAGUCAGAAACAGUCAGAAACAGUCGGGUCAAACAGUCAGAAACAGUCAGGAACAGUCAGAAAUAGUCAGAAACAGUCAGGUCAAACAGUCAGAAACAGUCAGAAACAGUCAGAAACAGUCAGGAACAGUCGGGUCAAACAGUCAGGAACGGUCAGGAACAGUCAGGAACAGUCAGGAACAGUCAGGAACGGUCAGGUCAAACAGUCAGGAACAGUCAGGAACAGUCAGGAACAGUCAGGAACAGUCAGAAACAGUCAGGAACAGUCAGAAACAGUCAGGAACAGUCAGGAACAGUCAGGUCAAACAGUCAGGAACAGUCAGGAACAGUCAGGAACAGUCAGGAACAGUCAGAAACAGUCGGGUCAAACAGUCAGGAACAGUCAGGAACAGUCAGGAACAGUCAGAAACAGUCAGAAACAGUCGGGUCAAACAGUCAGGAACAGUCAGGAACAGUCAGAAACAGUCGGGUCAAACAGUCUGCAACAGUCAGGAACAGUCAGGAACAGUCAGGAACAGUCAGGAACAGUCAGAAACAGUCGGGUCAAACAGUCAGGAACAGUCAGGAACAGUCAGAAACAGUCGGGUCAAACAGUCUGCAACAGUCAGGAACAGUCAGGAACAGUCAGAAACAGUCAGGAACAGUCAGGUCAAACAGUCAGAAACAGUCAGAAACAGUCAGAAACAGUCAGGUCAAACAGUCAGAAACAGUCAGGAACAGUCAGGAACAGUCAGGUCAAACAGUCAGGAACAGUCAGGAACAGUCAGGAACAGUCAGGUCAAACAGUCAGAAACAGUCAGGAACAGUCAGGAACAGUCAGAAACAGUCAGGUCAAACAGUCAGAAACAGUCAGGAACAGUCGGGUCAAACAGUCUGCAACAGUCAGGAACAGUCAGGAACAGUCAGAAACAGUCAGGAACAGUCAGAAACAGUCAGGAACAGUCAGAAACAGUCAGAAACAGUCAGGAACAGUCAGAAACAGUCGGGUCAAACAGUCACACAGCUGUACAACAGUCAUAUAAAACGACACUAACACUCAGCAGUCUGAGAUAAUCAAGGAAAAAGUCACAUUAAAGGGACAGUCCGUCAUUUUAGAUCAGGGGGUCUGUGAGCGACAUGACUCCAGGAGGUGAAGGAGAAUCUACGACAGGUGAUGGUCAGCUCUGCUGGGUCAGAGGGAACAGAUUCUGAUAAUUCAGUCGGAAACAAAUUAAACUGGUAAAUAAAGAAAGAGGGAAAAAGUGAGCAUGAAACGACAGACAGACAAAGAAUUAAACUAAGAUCAAUAACUGAAUCGAUAAAAGAGCAGAAGAAGACUAAGGCGACGUUCAGACUGCAGGUCAUUCUGAUGUUUUAACCAUCUGUGACUCAUAUCUGAUGUUUUCAUCUUAGUGUGAACAGGUCAGUUCUGAUUGGUUCUGAUCCGACCCAGGCCUCUUCUGUAUGUGGAUAUAAAUCAGAUAUGUAUCUGAUGUGACUGCAGUGUGACGCUCAGGUCGCGUUCAUCCGACCUUUACGUCAUCAAUAUGAGACAAACGUCACCAUUGUUCAACAACACAAACAGGCGUGGAAAGCAGUUUGUGCUUUGUGCACAUGAGGGUCACUUCACGGACGCAUUCGUUGUUGUAACGUGAACGACCGCACAAAAAGAUCGGAUUUAACAAAAACUCUGAGCUGUGCAUCAGAACCUGCAGAGUGGACGUAGAUCCUUACUGACUGUUUUACAUAUUCAGAAAUUAAUGUAGUUCAGCUUAUUUAAAGCUCCUAUAAGGAGUUUUUGACGUUUAUGAACUCGACUGAAAUUCAUGUUGAUGCUUUUAUAAUAAUAUACAAACACAAACAAAACCAUCAUAGAGGAGACCGAACAUCUGAACAUUUUCAGUGUGUGAAACCCGAGCGUGGGUGAAGGUUCGAGUCUUACAGCUGAACAAACAGAAAUGUGUUUAGAGUUCCCUUCAUUACAGCCUCACGAUGAAUGACUAAUGUGACUGUUACCAGGAUGAGAUAAAUCAAUACUACAGCAUGUCCACAGGGGG
rnacentral:lncRNA from 1 species